CUAAGUGAUGACUUGCUCGACCGGGCGGACAUACCUAGUAUUGCGCAGCUAUUCCAAACGCGUUUCUGUGUACAAAAUUUUAGGAGCGCGGGCUACGCGAGAAUUGAUGAGUGGUCGCCAGAUAGCUGAUU
rnacentral:snoRNA from 1 species